rnacentral:rRNA from 1 species
AUUGAACGCUGGCGGCAUGCCUUACACAUGCAAGUCGAACGGCAGCACGGGAGCAAUCCUGGUGGCGAGUGGCGAACGGGUGAGUAAUAUAUCGGAACGUGCCCAGUCGUGGGGGAUAACGCAGCGAAAGCUGUGCUAAUACCGCAUACGAUCUAAGGAUGAAAGCGGGGGAUCGCAAGACCUCGCGCGAUUGGAGCGGCCGAUAUCAGAUUAGCUAGUUGGUGGGGUAAAAGCUCACCAAGGCGACGAUCUGUAGCUGGUCUGAGAGGACGACCAGCCACACUGGAACUGAGACACGGUCCAGACUCCUACGGGAGGCAGCAGUGGGGAAUUUUGGACAAUGGGCGCAAGCCUGAUCCAGCAAUGCCGCGUGCAGGAUGAAGGCCUUCGGGUUGUAAACUGCUUUUGUACGGAGCGAAACGGCUUCCCCUAAUACGGGGAGCUAAUGACGGUACCGUAAGAAUAAGCACCGGCUAACUACGUGCCAGCAGCCGCGGUAAUACGUAGGGUGCGAGCGUUAAUCGGAAUUACUGGGCGUAAAGCGUGCGCAGGCGGUUAUAUAAGACAGAUGUGAAAUCCCCGGGCUCAACCUGGGACCUGCAUUUGUGACUGUAUAGCUAGAGUACGGUAGAGGGGGAUGGAAUUCCGCGUGUAGCAGUGAAAUGCGUAGAUAUGCGGAGGAACACCGAUGGCGAAGGCA